UGGAGGCUUUUAUGCUUGUGCUCUUACUC
rnacentral:piRNA from 1 species